GCCCAGGUCACCUCCUAUAUAUCACACCAACUCAGCCCAGGUUACCUCCUAUAUAUCACACCAACUCAGCCCAGGUCACCUCCUAUAUAUCACACCAACUCAGCCCAGGUUACCUCCUAUAUAUCACACCAACUCAGCCCAGGUCACCUCCUAUAUAUCACACCAACUCAGCCCAGGUCACCUCCUAUAUAUCACACCAACUCAGCCCAGGUUACCUCCUAUAUAUCACACCAACUCAGCCCAGGUCACCUCCUAUAUAUCACAACAACUCAGCCCAGGUUUACUCCUAUAUAUCACACCGACUCAGCCCAGGUCACCUCCUAUAUAUCACACCAACUCAGCCCAGGUUUACUCCUAUAUAUCUCACCAACUUAGCCCAGGUUACCUCCUAUAUAUCACACCAACUCUGCCGAGGUCACCUCCUAUAUAUCACACCAACUUAUCCCAGGUCACCUCCUAUAUAUCACACCAACUCAGCCCAGGUUUACUCCUAUAUAUCUCACCAACUUAGCCCAGGUUACCUCCUAUAUAUCACACCAACUCUGCCGAGGUCACCUCCUAUAUAUCACACCAACUCAGCCCAGGUCACCUCCUAUAUAUCACACCAACCCCAGGUUACCUCCUAUAUAUCACACCGACUCAGCCCAGGUUAACCCCUAUAUAUAUCACACCAACUCAGCCCAGGUUUACUCCUAUAUAUCACACCAACUCAGCACAGGUCACCUCCUAUAUAUCACACCAACUCAGCCCAGGUUUACUCCUAUAUAUCACACCAACUCAGCCCAGGUCACCUCCUAUAUAUCACACCAACUCAGCCCAGGUCAUCUCCUAAAUAUCACACCAACUCAGCCCAGGUCACCUCCUAUAUAUCACACCAACUCAGCCCAGGUUACCUCCUAUAUAUCACACCAACUCAGCCCAGGUUACCUCCUAUAUAUCACACCAACUCAGCCCAGGUCACCUCCUAUAUAUCACACCAACUCAGCCCAGGUCACCUCCUAUAUACUAUAUAUCACACCAACUCAG
ensembl:lncRNA